UCCGGGAUGGUGUAAUUGGCAACACGCCAGUCUCUGGAUCUGGAAUUUGGGGUUCGAGUCCCUGUCCCGGAGCCU
rnacentral:tRNA from 1 species